rnacentral:rRNA from 1 species
AGGACGAACGCUGGCGGCGUGCUUAACACAUGCAAGUCAAGGGGGCCCAGCAAUGGGCAACCGGCGAACGGGUGCGUAACACGUGAGCAACCUACCGAAAUGUGGGGGAUAGCCGGCCUAACGGCCGAGUAAUACCGCAUACGCUCUCGAUGAGGCAUUUCAUUGAGAGGAAACCUACGGGACAUUUCGAGGGGCUCGCGGCCUAUCAGCUAGUUGGCGAGGUAACGGCUCACCAAGGCAACGACGGGU